CUACGGGUCGCAGCAGUAGGGAAUCUUGCACAAUGGGCGAAAGCCUGAUGCAGCAAUGCCGCGUGAGUGAAGAAGGCUCUUGGGUUGUAAAGCUCUUUCGGCUAGGAAGAAGGGUCAUUUGGUUAAUACCCAGAUGAUUUGACGGUACUAGAAGAAGAAGCACCGGCUAACUCCGUGCCAGCAGCCGCGGUAAUACGGAGGGUGCAAGCGUUGUUCGGAUUGACUGGGCGUAAAGCGCACGUAGGCGGGUUCGCAAGUCGGAUGUGAAAGCCCCGGGCUUAACCUGGGAAUAGCAUACGAAACUACGAAUCUUGAAUGUCUGAGAGGUUGGUGGAAUUCCAGGUGUAGGAGUGAAAUCCGUAGAGAUCUGGAGGAACACCGGUGGCGAAGGCGGCCAACUGGCAGUACAUUGACGCUGAGGUGCGAAAGCAUGGGGAGCAAACAGGAUUAGAUACCCGAGUAGUC
rnacentral:rRNA from 1 species